rnacentral:rRNA from 1 species
GACGAACGCUGGCGGCGUGCUUAACACAUGCAAGUCGAACGGAAAGGCCCUGCUUUUGUGGGGUGCUCGAGUGGCGAACGGGUGAGUAACACGUGAGUAACCUGCCCUUGACUUUGGGAUAACUUCAGGAAACUGGGGCUAAUACCGGAGAGGAGCUCCUGCUGCAUGGUGGGGGUUGGAAAGUGUCGGCGGUUGGGGAUGGACUCGCGGCUUAUCAGCUGGUUGGUGGGGUAGUGGCUUACCAAGGCUUUGACGGGUAGCCGGCCUGAGAGGGUGAACGGCGACAUUGGGCCUGAGAUACGGCGCAGACUGCUACGGGAGGCAGCAGUGGGGAAUAUUGCAGAAUGGGCGGAAGCCUGAUGCAGCAACGCCGCGUGCGGGAUGACGGCCUUCGGGUUGUAAACCGCUUUCGCCUGUGACGAAGCGUUAGUGACGGUAAUGGGUCAAGAAGCACCGGCUAACUACGUG